rnacentral:rRNA from 1 species
GUGAGGAAUAUUGGACAAUGGAUGGAAAUCUGAUCCAGCCAUGCCGCGUGCAGGAAGACGACCCUAUGGGUUGUAAACUGCUUUUAUACGGGAGCAAUAAGGUCUAUGCAUAGAUUGAUGAGAGUACCGUAUGAAUAAGCAUCGGCUAACUCCGUGCCAGCAGCCGCGGUAAUACGGAGGAUGCGAGCGUUAUCCGGAUUUAUUGGGUUUAAAGGGUGCGUAGGCGGCUUUGUAAGUCAGCGAUGAAAUUUUGCAGCUUAACUGUAAAAGCGCCGUUGAUACUGUGAAGCUAGGAUUUGGUUGCUGUGGGCGGAAUGUGUGGUGUAGCGGUGAAAUGCAUAGAGAUCACACAGAAUAUCGAUUGCGAAGGCAGCUCACAAAGCCAAUAUUGACGCUGAGGCACGAAAGUGUGGGGAUCAAACAGGAUUAGAUACCCGUGUAGUCC